CACACCGCCCGUCACACCAUGGGAGUCAGUUGCUCUAGAAGUCGGUGGGCUAACCCGCAAGGGAGGCAGCCGCCUAAAAUGUGAUCGGUAAUUGGGGUGA
rnacentral:rRNA from 1 species